GCCAGACUCCUACGGGAGGCAGCAGUGGGGGAUAUUGCACAAUGGGGGGAACCCUGAUGCAGCGACGCCGCGUGGGUGAAGGAGCGUUUCGGCGCGUAAAGCCCUAUCGGCAGGGAAGAAGGAGGACGGUACCUGACUAAGAAGCCCCGGCUAACUACGUGCCAGCAGCCGCGGUAAUACGUAGGGGGCAAGCGUUAUCCGGAUUUACUGGGUGUAAAGGGGGCGCAGCCGGAGAGACAAGUCAGAUGUGAAAUCCACGGGCUCAACCCGUGAACUGCAUUUGAAACUGUUUCCCUUGAGUGUCGGAGAGGUAAUCGGAAUUCCUUGUGUAGCGGUGAAAUGCGUAGAUAUAAGGAAGAACACCAGUGGCGAAGGCGGAUUACUGGACGAUAACUGACGGUGAGGCGCGAAAGCGUGGGGAGCAAACAGGAUUAGAUACCCGUGUAC
rnacentral:rRNA from 1 species